rnacentral:rRNA from 1 species
UACGUAGGGGGCAAGCGUUGUUCGGAAUUACUGGGCGUAAAGGGCGCGUAGGCGGCACGACAAGUCGGAAGUGAAAGCCCGGGGCUCAACCCCGGAAUGUCUUUCGAAACUGUCGAGCUAGAGUGCAGAAGAGGCAACUGGAAUUCCCAGUGUAGCGGUGAAAUGCGUAGAUAUUGGGAAGAACACCUGAGGCGAAGGCGGGUUGCUGGGCUGACACUGACGCUGAGGCGCGAAAGCCAGGGGAGCGAACGGG